GGCCCCGUAGCUCAGCAGGAUAGAGCAUCAGAUUCCUAAUCUGGAGGCCACUGGUUCGAAUCCAGUCGGGGUCACCA
rnacentral:tRNA from 1 species